CAAUUCAAACCUAAUGCAGUGACCAUGACCUGCAUCCUUCCGGCUGCCGCAAGCCUUUCGUCCUUGGAGCGAGGUAGGGAGAUACAUGCUUAUGCACUACGAAGAGGAUAUCUGGAAGACAAUUAUACAUCCAAUGCUCUGGUGGACAUGUAUGUUAAGUGUGGUGCAUUAAUGGUAGCUCGACUUUUGUUUGACCGGUUGACUAAGAAGAACCUCAUAUCAUGGACCAUCAUGAUAGCUGGAUAUGGCAUGCAUGGUCAUGGGAAAGAUGCUAUUGCUCUCUUUGAACAGAUGAGAGGCAGUGGUGUUGAGCCAGAUUCAGCUUCUUUCAGUGCCAUAUUGUAUGCUUGCUGCCAUUCAGGUCUUAGAAAUGAGGGAUGGAGAUUCUUCAAUGCUAUGCGAAAUGAACACAAAAUAGAGCCCAAACUGAAGCACUACGCCUGCAUCGUUGACCUGCUUAGCCAUACUGGAAAUCUGAAAGAGGCUUUUGAGUUCAUCGAGUCAAUGCCAAUUGAACCUGACUCAAGCAUCUGGGUCUCAUUGCUGCACGGAUGUAGAAUUCACAGGGAUGUCAAGCUUGCAGAGAAAGUAGCAGACAGGGUCUUCAAGCUGGAACCUGAGAACACAGGGUACUAUGUCCUUCUUUCCAACAUCUAUGCCGAGGCUGAGAGAUGGGAGGCUGUCAAGAAGCUGAAGAACAAGUUUGGUGGUCGGGGGCUACGCGAGAACACUGGCUGCAGUUGGAUUGAGGUCAGGGGCAAGGUUUAUGUCUUCGUCCCGAACAACCGGAAUCACCCACAAGGGAACAGAAUUGCAGAAUUCCUGGAUGAUGUUGCCAGAAGGAUGCGGGAAGAAGGCCAUGAUCCUAAGAAAAACUAUGCUCUGAUGGGUGCGAACAAUGCGGUGCACGACGAGGCACUUUGUGGGCACAGCUCCAAGCUCGCCAUCGCAUUCGGCGUGCUCAAUUUGUCGGAAGGGCGGCCAGUCCGCGUGACAAAGAACUCAAGGGUUUGUAGCCACUGCCAUGAGUCUGCCAAAUUCAUAUCCAAGAUGUGUAAUAGAGAGAUCAUCCUGAGAGAUUCAAGCAGGUUCCAUCAUUUUGAAGAAGGCAGGUGUUCCUGUAGAGGGUACUGCUGAAAGAAAGAUCAGUCAUGUAACUGUAAUUUUGUUUGUUCAUAGCAAAGAGUACAUAUGUUGCUACGCAGCACCACAUGAUCUUUGCAUAUACAGUGAUUUUUCUUUAAAAGAAUUAGAGGUGACAUUUGAAUGCUGUGGGAAGAUUCAUUUGUAAGAACAACAAUUUUGCGUGUACCAGAAUAACCAGUUACAAUCCCUAGAAAUGUAAAGAAAUAAAAAGGGUGAAUACAUUUCAAC
rnacentral:lncRNA from 1 species